UUAGGAAUAAUAGGAAGCUGAAUGUAAUAUGUUUUGAAUAUCUAAUUAUUUUUUUUUUCUCGUCAGAUUAGAUAUUGAUGAGUGUUGGGAACAAUCUCCUUAAAUGGUAGCAAAAUAUUCAAUAAAUAAAACAAGAUUUGCAUUUUUCUUUCAAAAAAAAAAAAUCUUUAUCAGUUAUAGCAAUGUUGAUUCAAAAUCGCCAGCUUUGUACGGGAUAUCGAAAAUAUUUUCAGCUCUACUGUAUUUUUUCCCUUAUGCUUUCGAACUUAGGGCAUAAUUUUACACUAAACAUGAUUUUCAGAUGUAAGCUAGCAUUACAAUAGAAUGGAAUCAAUCAAAACAAAAAAAAUAAUAAUAAUUUUGUAAAUAUGCAGCAGACCGGCGAUAAUAAGGUCGUGUUAAUUUGAAAAAAAAAUCAGUAAAAAUAUCAACAUAAAAAUGACCACUAAUACAAUGGAUGAAAUAGGCAACAAUAGUGGAGCGAACAACGCUAGAUUUGAAUUUCCAAUAAAUUUUGCUAUACAGUGUAUUCCAGAAUUUCAUGGUAGUGCAUGUGAAUUAGAUGCUUUCAUAUAUCAAAUAAAUUGUUUUUUGAAAUCCAUAAAACGGAUAACUGAUGCUAGUGAAAGGAAAAAUGCAGAAACCGUACUCAUUCAAAUUGCACUGUCUAAACUUAAAGGCCCAGCAGCGUUAAAAUUUAAAAACAUUCUUGCAAAUACUUGGGAUAAAGUGAAAGAUAAUCUCCAAAAAGAAUUCGGAAUUAGUUUACAUUUGGAAGAACUGUUUAAUAAAAUAGAGACCCUUGAACAAGGCAAGUGUGAAAGUUUUAAAAACUACAAAGAUCGCGUUCUUCAACUUAAGAGGAAUAUUGAUGAAUUCGAAAAAGAUUAUAUUAAAGAUCCUACAAUUGAGUCAUACGCUCAAAUACAUUUAAGAAUACAUUUUCUAGCGGGAUUGGAAGAUAUAAAUUUGAAAAUUUUUGCAAAAACGAAAAAAGAAGACUCAUUGGAAGAUUUGCUAGAUUACCUACAAGAAGAAUGCAUCGAUGUGGAACAACAAGAACGCAUCGAGCAGAGAUUGAGGGAUUCCCACACUGCAGAAUUUUACAGGCAACAAAAUGAAAAACAGAAAUUCAGUAAUCCACAAUGUAUUGAUCACAACUUCCAUUACGAUAAAAGUAGAUUCAACCAGAGCGAAAUAGGUUAUGAAAAAGAUUUUAACAAUUCAAGAGCAAAUUUUCAAUACGCCCUAAGUAACAUUUUGAUCUUAUCGAGAAAAUCGAAUUCAAAGUUUUGGUUUUCAUUUUUAAUUCCUAUUUAAUGAUCAAACCGAAAACAGUAUAAUGAAUAAGCGCAAACGACAUCAGAUAACAGCGUUUAUUACUUCCUGAUUAAAAAUAUAGAUAGAGUACAAAAAAACAUUAGUUUUUUGCAUUAAAUCAGUUCUACGUCGUUUGGCGUCAGAAAACGUAAAUAAGACAUUUUGUUAAGUCAUUCUGAAACCUCUCGGUUACUUUCGUCGGUUACGUUACGUCGCGUUACGCGAAUUUAUGUUGCUUACGUCGGUGUGUUUACGUCAUGUAGCCAGCUGUCAUGUUGGUUACGCCAAGUUACUUACGUCGUUGUGUUGAUCGAUUUGUGUGGAAGAUUGGCACUUAAGCCAUACGGAUUCCUCAUAGAAAAAGUAAGUGUUUCCUACGCAGCAAUGGUGCCGCAGGCAAAUUAACUUGGAAUACCUAGCGGCAACAACAGGCGCCAACGGAUGCAACCGAACCGGGGAAGUCUUCGUUCCGAAAUCGGAAUGAUAUUAUAGUAAUAUAAUCUAGAAGAUCCAGGGCGAAUCCUGUUGCAAGCUCAUCAGCUGCAGCUCAUCCAGGAUUGUGGCCACUGAGCGGAUGACUGUCGGUGUAUCGUGCAAUGCUCUAGGGCUUGCGACAAUGUUUCGAAAGCAAGGCGGCGGUGAACUAGGAGGCCGAGGUGGCGAUAGAGACGACCGCGGAGAUAGCCAGCAUCGCGGUGAUAACCAUGACAACGGACAGAGUAAUUUAAAAGUUGCAUAACUAACUAUGGUUACUGGACCAACUUGCAGACUAAAAGAUGCUGUAUGCCUUCAAGAACGUCCAAACUAUCCUGGAGUUUAGCCAUUGACAUCUACAGCUGUACAAUAGUUAUGUUUGCCGUUAAAUGUUGUUCAACUAUAAUAUAUUAUCCCUUCGAAGUUGUACGAACCAUUCAUUUUGGAUGUUGGAGAUCAACCAACUACUCCGAAUAACAGAACUUGUUACGAAUGUAGUCAUAUCCCCAUAUACAGAGUAUUGUUGCAUAAUCAACUAAAAUUACUGGGCCUGCAUAAAUCAUAAUCGUUUAUACUUUUGGGACAUUUAGCGUCGUCCAAACUGCCCUGGAGUUUAGUCCCUAACAUCUACUAACAGUAGUGGUUUACGCUACGUAUUAGAUAUUAUGUUAUCAGUACAAAACCGAAUUAGGCGCCAUCCAUAAACAACGUAGACACAUUUUUGGCCAUCUCAGCCCCCCCUCCCCCCUCCCCCUCGUAGACUUUUGCUCAUAGGUACAAAGUUUUCGAAAUUUGUAUGGACCGCAGACUUCGGCCAUAUGAAAUCUGUGUUGAGAAAAUGUCUACUUUUCAAGUGAGCACUUUUUUUUAAAAGGCACGUGAAUAGGCAUGGAAACAGCAUCUGUAGUUAAAUCUCUUUUAGUUUAAAACUUUAUUAGAAAAGAUAUUAGCUAGCAGUUGUAGGGUGGAGCGGAGCUAAAUGAACACCCCAAGAAUUACCUGGAGUUUACUAGAAGUGCACGCAGGACUAUCGUUUAUCAAGAAUAUUAAUUGGAUGAACUUAUUUCAAUGGAUGACGUUGUUUUGGCAAAAUUAAUCGCAUUAGUAAUCAAACUUAUCUUGCGCCGUCCUACCCUACACACGGUCUUAGAAUUUGGUGACAAUGACGAGAAAGAGCUACUACUGAUUCAACUUUGGGGGCAGUUUUUGUUCCUGAUAUUGCUGCUGUUGUUCCUGAUUCUGUCGGCGUGAUAAUUAUUUACGAGCUGGUGCUGCUGGUAGAACUGCUGUGCGGGGUUGCAGUUGGGCCAAAAUCUGCACCUGGUGUUGUCGCUGUUGCUGCAGUUUUCCCACGCUUCGGAGGAUUUUAGGAAAUCGAAGAGGCUUUGACGUGGAGGCGUGGCGUCAAUUUUGGGCUUCCUACCCACCGUUCGGGAGGAUCCUACCCACCGUUCCAUUUUGGAGAAAUCACCCGACUAUUAGGUUUUCUCGCUUUCAGACGAGGUGUGAUCGGUCUCAUCUUAAUGCAGCAGCCAGUUUAACAGGACCAAUCGGGACACCUUCAGCAGUCGUCGCGCAAACUGGUCCGCAAGUUUUCCUGAAAAAAAAAAUGUUCUCAUUUAGUCCCAUUCAACACAGGGAGGACUCUCAUGACCCGUAAGAAAACUGAGAGGGGCUUACCUUGCACCGUCCUAUCCACGCACGGUCUUAGAAGUUGGCAGGGAAGUUGAUGACGACGACGAGAGCUUGAUCAGCUUAUUUCCGUCCGAACUGGGUUUGAUCAUGCAUCCCUAGUUCUUGCUCGACUUGCUAGCGUCGACGGAAGCGGAUGAGAAAGAAUGCGUUGCCAAACCUGCAAAGGCGGCAAACGAUGCCGAUCUGAUGGAAGCACCGCUUGGAAGGUGGCCUGUGGAAGCAGAUAAAGUAGCACGUUAGACUUUUUUAUAUUGAUUUUUUGUGGAUGAGUAAUGAUCAAUGCGAAAAGUUGGCGAAAUUACUCUCUAUUGGUUCAUAACUUACCUUACAGCGCCGAGAAAACAAUGUCCGGAUUCUUUUGCAGCAGAGCAUCAAGGAACUUUCAUCGACACCUUGAGCUUAUCAAUCACAUCACUAAUGCGGGAGCAUUUGCAUUCCGGCGAGGAAUUUUUAGAUGUCCGCUGCACCACUUACAAAUUGACGGUGGGAGAUUCAUCUUUGGACUGGACGAUGAGUAAUUUCAAGAUUUCUUCUCGCUCCCUGUAUCACAAUAACUUGAGGACAACGAACCACUGCUCAAGCCACUGCUUUGGGUGGUACUAGCACCGAAAAAUACUUAUUACUACCAUCCGAACUAUUGCAGGAAGUGCCCCUUUCAAGCUGAGUGCUUCCACCGGGAAAGUGUUUCGGCGAUAAUGUUCCGAUGCUUCUUCUUCUUCUUCUUCUCUUCUGGUUUGUUUGGACCGGUGACAGUGACCAUACGUCCAGCUGCUUCUUUUACGUCGAUUUGACAGCCCACCCCUAUGACUGCGGUUGCAGUGUUUCGGUCUCAGUAGGCGGGAUAGCCGAUUAGCUCAUCAGGCCUAUCAGCUGUUGCCUUGGUGCGGUUUGUUUUGAUCGGAAAGUAUUCGUUUACAGUUUGGAACUAAUUUCGACUCAUUUUAUAUUUUUAAUUGAGUUUUCCUCAGAAAACUUACAACAUCUCGAAGGAUAUUCACAUCCUUCGCUUCGAAUAGCUGUUUAGAGUUUUGAAAUCGCAGAUCGGACUGUCUUUCAGCUUCAUUUUAUGCAGCCAGUAUUUGCUGUAGUCGUGCCCGGUGAUCAGUCUGUUGAGAGUUCUUGUUUCGACGUUGUUCAAAG